UAAGAAGGUAAGAUAGCCCUUACCAUGCCCAUCUCAUCUGAUCUUGGAAGCUAAGCAGGCUCUAGUCUGUGUACUACUUGGAUGAGAUUCCCCCCUGGGAAUAUGAGUCACUGUAG
rnacentral:rRNA from 1 species